rnacentral:lncRNA from 1 species
GAAUCUGUUGACGCAUUCCGUCCACAACACAACAUUAGGGUAGGCGACAUUUAACGUAUAUAUCUAUGGACGCUAACAAGUAUUCACGUCGUAUCAUGCUCAACUCUUAAUACUCUUUUACGCACUUUGAGAGUGUUUGCGUUAUUUCAGAGAGAUAUUUAAGCACAUAUGAAGUAACAGUGCCAUCUGUGUACUAUAGCUACACAAUGCAGCAUUUAGCUCGCUCGUAAACAUCGCUGCUGUCCUCAGAUCAUUGUCUGAGCAGAAGUUUCAUCAUUAGCCCUGACUGUCAGAUGCUCUUCAUCUCAGGAGCUGUAUUUUUAGAUGCUCGAUAACAGAUAUAAGGUGAGUUAAUAGAACACAGCCAGGAACUCUUCUGCGCGAGUCAGCGUGACGUGCGUGCGCGGGCUCAUCAUUUGAAUUAAAUAACGGAUACAAGCAACGGGCGGAACGGUAAUCAAAGUUUCGCUGGAAUCUCCAAUUGAAAACAUCAUCGUGUGCGCUUAGACUUCUGUUCCAGUUCUGACUACACACCACUCUGCUUAUGUGGAUCACUGACUACUAUGUUCUCUGAAGUGGGGGAAACCGGAGCACCUGGAGGAAACCCACGCAAACUCCACACAGAGACGCCAACUGACCCAGCCAAGGCUCGAACCAACGACCUUCUUGCUGUGAGGCGCCACUGCAGCGCAGAACCUGAAGCAGGUGCAGCCAAACUGCGACACAACAGCCACGGAAUUUACAGGGCCGUGAGAGAUCACCUGUACGGUCUGGCGGUGGCAGACGCAGAGCGGAAAAACUAUCUGAUGCUUUUGUUGUUGUUAAUGUUAAAUUGACCAAUACAUGUUUUGUCAUUACUUUUGUCUGCAAAUAUUAGGCUAAUAAAUAAUAUUUUUU